AGGGCACCACCAGGAGUGGAGCUUGCGGCUUAAUUUGACUCAACACGGGAAGACUCACCCGGCCCGGACACUGAAAGGAUUGACAGAUUGAGAGCUCUUUCUUGAUUCAGUGGGUGGUGGUGCAUGGCCGUUCCUAGUUGGUGGAGUGAUUUGUCUGGUUAAUUCCGAUAACGAACGAGACUCUCACCUACUAAAUAGACUUGCAGUUUAAACUGCAGUACUCCCCCUUAGAUGAUCUAUGGGUGGUAGUAUCUCUUGAACCUUCGGGUGAGAGGGCUCUACUACCGUCAGCCCAUGGAAUUAUUCUAAGGUAAGGAUGCUGUAGCACUGUAAGGACUUCUUAGAGGGACAAGGGGCGCCUUUAAGCCCCACGAAACAGAGCAAUAACAGGUCUGUGAUGCCCUUAGAUGUCCGGGGCCGCACGCGUGCUACACUGAAGUGGCCAUCGUGCAAAACGUUUCCUGCUCCGAAAGGAGUGGGUAACCCCUUGAACCCAUUUCGUGAUGGGGAUUGGGCAUU
rnacentral:rRNA from 1 species